AGAGUUUGAUCAUGGCUCAGAUUGAACGCUGGCGGCGUGCCUAACACAUGCAAGUCGAGCGGUAACAGGUGUAGCAAUACAUGCUGACGAGCGGCGAACGGGUGAGUAAUGCUUUGGAAUCUUCCCAGUAGUGGGGAAUAACCAGUCGAAAGAUUGGCUAAUACCGCAUACGUCUGUAAAGGGAAAGCGGGGGCUCGUAAGACCUCGCGCUAUUGGAUGAGCCAAAGUCGGAUUAGCUAGUUGGUGGGGUAAUGGCCUACCAAGGCGACAAUCCGUAGCUGGUCUGAGAGGACGACCAGCCACACCGGAACUGAGACACGGUCCGGACUCCUACGGGAGGCAGCAGUGGGGAAUAUUGGACAAUGGGGGAAACCCUGAUCCAGCGACGCCGCGUGUGUGAAGAAGGCCUGCGGGUUGUAAAGCACUUUUAGUGGGGACAAAAAGCUACGGAUUAAUACUCUGUGGUCUUGAUUUAACCCAAAGAAAAAGCACCGGCUAACUCUGUGCCAGCAGCCGCGGUAAUACAGAGGGUGCGAGCGUUAAUCGGAAUUACUGGGCGUAAAGCGCGCGUAGACGGUUUUGUAAGUCAGGUGUGAAAUCCCUGGGCUCAACCUGGGAACUGCAUUUGAGACUGCAUGGCUAGAGUAUCGAAGAGGGAAGUGGAAUUUCCGGUGUAGCGGUGAAAUGCGUAGAUAUCGGAAGGAACACCAGUGGCGAAAGCGACUUCCUGGUCGAAUACUGACGUUCAUGUGCGAAAGCGUGGGGAGCAAACAGGAUUAGAUACCCUAGUAGUCC
rnacentral:rRNA from 1 species